GCCGUCACAGUCCCUGGGUGUUUGGAGCUGUCAAAGGAUAAUGAGAUCCCGUCACACCUUCGUGGAUAAAAAGGUUGUCCAACUCAACAGAGUAACCAUCGCUUUUUGGAAGCAAAGGGAAGACAGACGACCGAGAAAUCAUCAGUCAGACACGACUCUAGUUCAUUUUGAAACGCUUCACAAUCAUGAACCCCAGAGUGUUAAUGUUCAGCUUGACCUUCACCUUGCUGGCUCUGAGCACCCUGACCUUAGCCCAGGGAGAAAAAGGUCAGGAGGAAGACGCAGAGGUCAGGGCCACCGCGGACGACCUGAGAGACACUCUUGACCUAAUCAGGGAGCUCUCAAGCACUUCACGCCGCGAGCUGGUCAAGCGAGGAUGGGCAAGCAAGACGUGGAAGAAAGCCAAACCACACGUUAUCAAGGCCGCCGUUAGUAAAGGAGCUGCGGCUCUCGCUGGCUGAGCUUGUCCAGCGAUCCGCGGGAGAAAUGAAUGAAUGAAUGAAUGAAUGAAUGACUAAAUGAAUGAAUGAAUUAAUUAAUUAAUUAAUUAAUUAAUUAACACAGAAUCUACCAAGAUAUCAAAAUAAAUCAAAGCACAUUAUAACAAAUACAACAGAGUCUACAACGUUUGUUGAUUUCAAAGAGGAGAAUUUCUCUACAAGACUUUGGAUGUUCAUUUCUGUUCUUACUAUAAGUUGAUCUUUAUUUUUGUUUUUGUUCUUUGUUUUGUCUAUGAAUUGAUCUGCAUUUUCCACUUUCAUUCUUUCUAUGAAUUGAUCGGUAUUUUCUACUCUUAUUCUUUCUAUUGAUUGAUCUUUUUUAGUUGCUUUAUAUUUUGCUUUCUGCUCUUUCAAGGAAUUUAUCUUUUUUAAUUGUUGCUCUUGUAGCUGUUGUUGUUGUUGUUGUUGUUGUUGUUGUUGUUGUUGUUGUUGUUGUUGUUGUUGUUGUUGUUGUUGUUGUUGAUGUUGUUGGGUUAUUUUUCCUUUUUUGUGGUUUAUUUCUUCGUCUCAUAACCUGAUUUGGUGCUGAAUAUUGGUACGUUAUUGAUAAAAUGUGAUAAUGUAGUAGUUUUUGUUAGAGUCAGCUUGUUCAGAAUAACAACAACAAAAAUA